AGAGCGAACGCUGGCGGCAGGCCUAACACAUGCAAGUCGAGCGCCCCGCAAGGGGAGCGGCAGACGGGAGAGUAACACGUGGGAACGUACCCUUCAGUUCGGAACAACCCAGGGAAACUUGGGCUAAUACCGAAUACGUCCGUAAGGAGAAAGAUUUAUCGCUGAAGGAUCGGCCCGCGUCUGAUUAGCUUGUUGGUGAGGUAACGGCUCACCAAGGCUACGAUCAGUAGCUGGUCUGAGAGGAUGAUCAGCCUCACUGGGACUGAGACACGGCCCAGACUCCUACGGGAGGCAGCAGUGGGGAAUAUUGGACAAUGGGCGCAAGCCUGAUCCAGCAAUGCCGCGUGAGUGAUGAAGGCCUUCGGGUUGUAAAGCUCUUUCGCACGCGAGGAUGAUGACGCUAGCGUGAGAAGAAGCCCCGGCUAACUUCGUGCCAGCAGCCGC
rnacentral:rRNA from 1 species